UACCAUGAGCUCUGAGAUGGUUCACAAUUUAAGAGAGACUUUUAUCAAAAGCAACUUAAAAAUGAGGAACAUCACAAGAAAUGUAUAAUUUAAAAGUCAAUAAUUUCCAUAGUAUCACAAUGCCAACUUUUAAGAGUAUAGAUCCCUCACAAAAUACAGUGGAGGACCUGAUGCUGCGAAUCUGCCAUGAAAACAAGGUUGACCGAAACUUGUCUGUAUGCCUUUACACUGCUGAUGGUAUGCCUUUGACCGAUGACCCCUUUUUCAACACAUGUAGGUGUUCGAAUAUUUUUGAAGAUCAUUUUCAAACAUUGUUUUAUUUCAAAUGUAGAGACAAUUGUUUCCAGCACCAAAUGUGAUAUCUUCUUGGUUAAAAGUCAUGAUUACUCAUUGUAUUCAGUACAAAUGUGAAAAAACAAUUAUUAUCCAUUUAGUCAGAUUGUCUAUAGUUGUGAAUUAAUUUAAGAUCAGGUAACAUUUAAAUAAUAAUCAAUACAAAAAUCCAGAUCAAAAACUUUUGCUUGACACUUUAUGACUUUCUUGCAAAUAUCAAUUAUGCAUGUUGUUCACUAAUUUAAUUUCCCUGCAUGCAUUAUAUCUUUAUUAUUAAAGGGUCUUUGAAUGACAGACGCAAGUGGGAGUGAACUGUAUGCCAUAUUUACACCAAGGGAAAAUUUAACAGAGUUACCACCAACGCAAAGACAGGCCAACAUCAGAAUUGAAGGACCGAGUGUCAUCCGCUGUCACAUAGCGUUACAGGGAGACUUUGAAAUCAAAGUCAACCUUGAAAGUGAUACACUGAGAGAUGUGACACUACGGCUUUCUCUCGAAAGUAGUAUACCAGCACCAGUUCUUCACAUCAGGUCACUGAUGCUCAUAUCAUUGAGAUACCAUAAUUAUAUAUGUUCAUGCUAAUUAUUAUUAUUAUUAUUAUUUUUUUUUACUUCUGAUUUACUAUAUUGUUUAAAAUAUCAAAAAUCUUUCAGUAUUGUGUUUCCAAGAUUAAACUUGUCACUUUUUUUUUUUUUUUCUAGAGGUGAUGAGUAUAAUCAUGUUGACAAACUAAGUGAGCUUGGAGUCACAGAGGAUUCAGUUCUACAGUUCUCUCUGUCAUCAUUUGAUAAUGAGAAACCAAGUCCAAGUCUUUUGUUCCAAAAAGAUGUCAGACCCUCAGUGAAGCAAACAGAGAAAGGCCUAAGUGUUUUUCUGUCAACGCUCUAUGCCAUUGUAUGUAAAAAAAAACAAAAAAAAAAACUCAUUUCUAUUUUGUCAAGGUUUGAUGCUUGCUGAUCUAAAACCUGGGUCACCUAGAAUGAGUGGCAGACUAAUUCAAAAUACAGCUUCAUCCACAUAGGUUUAUUCAAAAAGUAGCCAAAUCACAACAAGACAAGUUCAAAAGCACAGUCCAGAAAAAAAAAUCAGUUCAGAUCUAAUAGAUCGCAACACACACACCCAAGGCUGUUUCAUUAUUUAGUUACUUGGUGUUUUUUUUUUUUUUUUUGUCGUUAGAGACAUUCACCCUGAUAAGAUGAUCAUCUGUGUCUAUGGACACAUCGGUACUCAAACCAUGAGAAUAGUGGAGCCAAAUGAUCCACAACUUGUAAUUACCAGUAACUGUUUCUUGACAACAGGUUUGAGGCCAGCAGCUGCAAACAUCAGAUAAAACGUCCUUGUUUUUUUUUCUUCAGUGCGUUGGUGUUGUUUUUUUUUUUUUUUUGUCGUUUAGAGACAUUCACCCUGAUAAGAUGAUCAUCUGUGUCUAUGGACACAUCGGUACUCAAACCAUGAGAAUAGUGGAGCCAAAUGAUCCACAACUUGUAAUUACCAGUAACUGUUUCUUGACAACAGGUUUGAGGCCAGCAGCUGCAAACAUCAGAUAAAACGUCCUGUUUUUUUUUUCUUUCAGUGCAACUAUUUGUAACAUUUUUUUGUAUUUUGUCCUAUUCUUUAGAAACGAAAACAACACACACACCCAACGGACUGUUUCUAUUAUUUAGUUUACUUGGUUGUUUUUUUUUUUUUUUUGUGUUCGUUUAGAGACAUUCACCCUGAUAAGAUGAUCAUCUGUGUCUAUGGACACAUCGGUACUCAAACCAUGAGAAUAGUGGAGCCAAAUGAUCCACAACUUGUAAUUACCAGUAACUGUUUCUUGACAACAGGUUUGAGGCCAGCAGCUGCAAACAUCAGAUAAAACGUCCUGUUUUUUUUUUUCUUUCAGUGCAACUAUUUGUAACAUUUUUUUUGU
rnacentral:lncRNA from 1 species